ACUCCUGCGGGAGGCAGCAGUAGGGAAUCUUCCACAAUGGGUGCAAACCUGAUGGAGCAAUGCCGCGUGAGUGAAGAAGGUCUUCGGAUCGUAAAGCUCUGUUGUUAGAGAAGAACACGUGCUAGGUAACUACUAGCGCCUUGACGGUAUCUAACCAGAAAGUCACGGCUAACUACGUGCCAGCCGCCGCGGUAAUACGUAGGUGACAAGCGUUGUCCGGAUUUAUUGGGCGUAAAGGGAACGCAGGCGGUCUGUUUAGUCUAAUGUGAAAGCCCACGGCUUAACCGUGGAACGGCAUUGGAAACUGACAGACUUGAAUGUAGAAGAGGAAAAUGGAAUUCCAAGUGUAGCGGUGGAAUGCGUAGAUAUUUGGAGGAACACCAGUGGCGAAGGCGAUUUUCUGGUCUAACAUUGACGCUGAGGCUCGAAAGCGUGGGGAGCGAACAGGAUUAGAAACCCUAGUAGUCCCAUGA
rnacentral:rRNA from 1 species